UANUACGUAGGGUGCGAGCGUUAAUNGGAAUUACUGGGCGUAAAGCGAGCNCAGACGGUUUAUUAAGCAAGAUGUGAANUCCCCGAGCUUAACUUGGGAACUGCGUUUUGAACUGGUAAGCUAGAGUAUGUUAGAGGGGGGUAGAAUUCCACGUGUAGCAGUGAAAUGCGUAGAGAUGUGGAGGAAUACCGAUGGCGAAGGCAGCCCCUGGGAUAAUACUGACGUUCAUGCUCGAAAGCGUGGGUAGCAAACAGGAUUAGAUACCCUGGUAGUCCACGCCCUAAACGAUGUCAAUUAGCUGUUGGGGCACUUGAUGCCUUAGUAGCGAAGCUAACGCGUGAAAUUGACCGCCUGGGGAGUACGGUCGCAAGAUUAAAACUCAAAGGAAUUGACGGGGACCCGCACAAGCGGUGGAUGAUGUGGAUUAAUUCGAUGCAACGCGAAGAACCUUACCUGGUCUUGACAUGUACGGAAUCUUCCAGAGACGGAAGAGUGCCUUCGGGAGCCGUAACACAGGUGCUGCAUGGCUGUCGUCAGCUCGUGUCGUGAGAUGUUGGGUUAAGUCCCGCAACGAGCGCAACCCUUGUCAUUAGUUGCCACCAUUCAGUUGGGCACUCUAAUGAGACUGCCGGUGACAAACCGGAGGAAGGUGGGGAUGACGUCAAGUCCUCAUGGCCCUUAUGACCAGGGCUUCACACGUCAUACAAUGGUCGGUACAGAGGGUAGCCAAGCCGCGAGGUGGAGCCAAUCUCAGGAAACCGAUCGUAGUCCGGAUUGCACUCUGCAACUCGAGUGCAUGAAGUCGGAAUCGCUAGUGAUCGCAGGUCAGCAUACUGCGGUGAAUACGUUCCCGGGUCUUGUACACACCGCCCGUCACACCAUGGGAGUGGGGGAUACCAGAAGUAG
rnacentral:rRNA from 1 species